rnacentral:rRNA from 1 species
CAGCCGCCGCGGGAAUACGGAGGGUGCAAGCGUUAAUCGGAAUUACUGGGCGUAAAGCGCACGCAGGCGGUCUGACAAGUCAGAUGUGAAAUCCCCGGGCUUAACCUGGGAACUGCAUUUGAAACUGUCAGGCUGGAGUCUCGUAGAGGGGGGUAGAAUUCCAGGUGUAGCGGUGAAAUGCGUAGAGAUCUGGAGGAAUACCGGUGGCGAAGGCGGCCCCCUGGACAAAGACUGACGCUCAGGUGCGAAAGCGUGGGGAGCAAACAGGAUUAGAGACCCCUGUAGUCCCUGUCUCUUAUAC